UCAUUUCUCAGGCAGGGGUGAUACCAUGACCAACAGUUUUUUUCCCCCAGAGUGAGGCCUGUCUACUACACUUCAGACAGGCUGACCCUUGCACAUUUCCAAAAUGUGGGAAACUCAGCUGCACAGUUUGGUAGUAAUGGGGUACUGCAUUUAUGCUUUUCCCUG
rnacentral:snRNA from 1 species